CAGUAACAUGGUAAUGUGUUAACUAUUAUCAAGAUGUUUGCAGAUCAGGGUAUGGCCUGACAUGGCGUGAUGGAGAUUAAAAACCAGAAUGCUGACCUCUAUAAAAUUGAAGACAAGGAAAUAAGUGGUCUGCCUGUUAAUGAUAACAAAUGGGACAACAAACUAAUUACUAAAAGUCAAUUACAAUUGGUUGGCACAAGAAGAUCAUUUAGGGAUAAGAAACACAGACACAUUAUUUCCAUACUUUCAAAUCCACAGCUAAAUAUUUUCACAGAUAUUUGUCUACAUUACAUUAGGACCUUCUACAAAAUUAUACUCUAUGCAGACAUAUCAUUUUACUUACGCAAACCAUUCUUACUUAGCAAGAUUACAUGGGCAAGUUGUUCCACGCUUUUCAAAACUGCCAAAUUUGUCAUCUUGUCAUCAAGCGGGAUGCUGGUUUAAUCUGGAGGUGUAACACCCCCAACUUCCAGACUCCGGGCUCCUUUGUGAAAGCUUCUGAAACCCACAAAGCGAUUUAGGCCCGUCCCGGGAAUCUAACCCGCGACCUCGCGCACAGCAGUCGCGAUAUGUAAUAACUAGACUAGCAAGGAAGUUCAUCCACUCAACAAUUUUAUUGCCAUCAUCGAACGAAAUCCACACCUAAAUACAUCUAAAGUCAAUGAAAUCAGAUUUUGUUUGAUCCUCUCUCGUAAUUUCAUGCCAAGCAAUCGCUUCGGACCAAAGAAACAAUUUAUCUGACACGUGGACUAUAAAAUGCUCAGAUCACGUAUAGUUUACUACUGCUAACAAUCAUGCGUAGUUAUUGACUCAUUACACUUUGUUUCAUAAUAUGAAUACUAAUCAUACUAUAUUAUGUAUCACUAAAUGACUGUUCGUCUCGGAACGGUCGGUCUCGUUCGGAAGAGUAUCCGGUGCCUACGACUGAGAACAGCAGAUAUGCAACUGAGUGCCGGAGUGACUGCCUAUCUGACACCCACAAACAUUACUAACGUGAUACCUAGCCGUUGGCAUCAUUAUCUCAAUCGGAAAAAACACCAAAAAUCCAAGAAGUUUUCUGAUAAUGUCAUCAGUCCUGACUAUGUGGUCGACUCAACCCGUAAAACAAAUGACUGGUGUUUAGAUAAUGGAAAAUAUUUCUAUUUCGCAUAAUAAUAAUGAAAUAAGUCGUUAAGGGUUGUUUACUAAGAUAUGAUACACAAACAUAAAACCGAAAAACACAGCCCACCCACCUGGUGCAGUCGCAGAAUAAAAGACCAAUGCCUUCUUAUCUAGCUAUUAAAACAAUAUUUUCAUAAUAACAGUCAAAUAUCUUUUCCAAAUCAAAAGAUAAAGAACCGCCUAUUGUUAUGUAUGUGUGGAAUAUUGAAACUCUCAGUUAAGUAUUGCUACGUAUAAAUUUGUAGGAAUUAAAAGUCUUCAGCAUCAUUUUCUAUGCAAAUU